GCAUAACGCGAAGAACCUUACCAGGUCUUGACAUCCCUCUGACCGGUCCGUAACGGGACCUUUCCUUCGGGACAGAGGAGACAGGUGGUGCAUGGUUGUCGUCAGCUCGUGUCGUGAGAUGUUGGGUUAAGUCCCGCAACGAGCGCAACCCCUAUCCUUAGUAGCCAGCAUGAAAGAUGGGCACUCUAGGGAGACUGCCAGGGAUAACCUGGAGGAAGGCGGGGAUGACGUCAAAUCAUCAUGCCCCUUAUGAUCUGGGCUACACACGUGCUACAAUGGUGACUACAAAGGGAAGCAACCCUGCGAAGGUGAGCAAAUCCCAAAAAGGUCAUCCCAGUUCGGAUUGUAGUCUGCAACUCGACUACAUGAAGCUGGAAUCGCUAGUAAUCGCGAAUCAGAAUGUCGCGGUGAAUACGUUCCCGGGUC
rnacentral:rRNA from 1 species